GGCAACGCCGGUCAGGCAGAGCCAGAUGGGACGGGCUGCCUCCCCCGACCGACCCCCGGGCUGUGCCCGCACCGCCGCCUCCUCGGGGAGGCCCUGGCGCCUCUGCCUGCUCCAGUGAAGGGCCCCACGGCGCCCGGGGAAAGCGGGCAGGUGGGUGCCUGCACCCCUGCGGCGAACGGCCGGGGCCGGCGAAAGGCAGCCGCGGUAAAAGAGCCUCUGCGAGACGGGCACCUACCUCUGGCCCGGACUCGGAGCAGUUAACACGUUGACCCGACAUAUUGGCAGCGGCACUGGGAAGCUGUGGUGGUGAAUCCAGGUCCUCAGGUCUCUGAAGGAAGCCCCCAUGAACGGGUCCCUGGGAUUAAGGAGGAAGCUGAGGUUUUAAUGAAGCGGACUCCAUUCUUCGGAGGGGUGAAGGGAGAUAACUUUUGAUGGGGACAUUUGGAAAUAAAUGUAAACAAAUGCUGAACAACAUGCUGAAUCUGGAGGCAUAAACACCCUCCACAGAGCUGCAAAUUGAAGACUCGAAGCUCCUGUUGUGUUGAAAAGGGGGACUCUUGGGCCCGA